rnacentral:rRNA from 1 species
AUUGAACGCUGGCGGCAUGCUUUACACAUGCAAGUCGAACGGUAACAGGUUAAGCUGACGAGUGGCGAACGGGUGAGUAAUGCAUCGGAACGUGCCCGGUCGUGGGGGAUAACGCAGCGAAAGCUGCGCUAAUACCGCAUACGAUCUGAGGAUGAAAGCGGGGGACCGUAAGGCCUCGCGCGAUCGGAGCGGCCGAUGUCAGAUUAGGUAGUUGGUGGGGUAAAGGCUCACCAAGCCGACGAUCUGUAGCUGGUCUGAGAGGACGACCAGCCACACUGGGACUGAGACACGGCCCAGACUCCUACGGGAGGCAGCAGUGGGGAAUUUUGGACAAUGGGCGCAAGCCUGAUCCAGCCAUUCCGCGUGCAGGAUGAAGGCCUUCGGGUUGUAAACUGCUUUUGUACGGAACGAAAAGGCUCUGGUUAAUACCCGGGGCUCAUGACGGUACCGUAAGAAUAAGCACCGGCUAACUACGUGCCAGCAGCCGCAGUAA